rnacentral:rRNA from 1 species
GAGUUUGAUCCUGGCUCAGAUUGAACGCUGGCGGCAGGCCUAACACAUGCAAGUCGAACGGUAACAGGAAGAAGCUUGCUUCUUUGCUGACGAGUGGCGGACGGGUGAGUAAUGUCUGGGAAACUGCCUGAUGGAGGGGGAUAACUACUGGAAACGGUAGCUAAUACCGCAUAACGUCGCAAGACCAAAGAGGGGGACCUUCGGGCCUCUUGCCAUCGGAUGUGCCCAGAUGGGAUUAGCUAGUAGGUGGGGUAACGGCUCACCUAGGCGACGAUCCCUGGCUGGUCUGAGAGGAUGACCAGCCACACUGGAACUGAGACACGGUCCAGACUCCUACGGGAGGCAGCAGUGGGGAAUAUUGCACAAUGGGCGCAAGCCUGAUGCAGCCAUGCCGCGUGUAUGAAGAAGGCCUUCGGGUUGUAAAGUACUUUCAGCGGGGAGGAAGGGAGUAAAGUUAAUACCUUUGCUCAUUGACGUUACCCGCA